UCCGACUGAGCAUGCUCGCCGGCUCGCGGCCGCGUCGGGCGCCCAGGUGGACCCAGCCGGGCCUCCGGUCGGGCCGCGCGGGGGUGGCGCAGGUGCGCGGUCCGGGAGCAGGCAUCCUUGACAAUUGCAUGAGGACACGAAGUUUUCACCUGCUUUUUCGAAGAUGAAGGCCUUGUCCUCACUCUCAGAUCAUUGCGCGGUGUCAGAGUCCAUUUUUUCUUCAGUUCUUCCUUCCUCUGAGACUCCACGUUCUCCAGGACCCUGCAGAGCGCGCUCGCGCCGCCUUGGAUGCACUUGGGUGGGCGUGGGAACUUGCUGCUAGCCUUCGGUUUCGGAGGAGAAGACGGGAAUGGAGAGCUUCCAGGGAAGGGAGGCUACAGGCAGGAGAGGAGUAAACUCAGGAACCCAGAGAGAUGCUUUCAGCUGGUCACUGGCCUGUCCACGCUGCCCUUAGACCUCGCUGGAUGCGGACCCUCCACCUGCACCACACUUUUCGGACCGUGUCAGCUUCCCCAUCAACCACAGAGCAAUGACCUUCCAGAAGGAUCCUCCCUCUGUGCUCCCGAUCCGUCCUCUGUGCCUCCACACACUUUUCUUUCUCAGCAAAUUAUAUUUCAGUAUAUCUGCAAAAAAUCCUUACACGGGUUCCUACUGCCUUCGGGAGAAAGUCCAAGUUUUUAAGCAUAAACUGGCCCCUGUCUCCCUCUCCUGAUUGGCCUCCAGCCAGUGUCCCCGCGUGUCCCCCAUCCUAGCUGACCCCAAAAGUCACACCUCUGUGUUCCUGUAGUUCUCUUGUCCCUCUUGCCUUGCUCACCCCUUGGCAAACGGUUACAUCUUCAACACCCAGUUCAGGCUGGAUCUCCUCUGACCUCCCCAGGGGUUUCUCCUGGGUACGUCACCUGGGCCAUGUGCUUUGUCUCCAUCUGACAUACCUGACCUUGAUUUAUUUUCCUUCAUCUCCGCUGCACUGAGGCAGCGUGACCACAAGGGCUCCUGUCAGCCCUCUCUGUGUCUUCGCUGUCAAUCCUCAGUAAGAUUUUUACUUAAUAAAUGAAUGAUAGGUAUAUGUACCCAUCUAAUG